rnacentral:rRNA from 1 species
UACGAAGGGGGCUAGCGUUGUUCGGAAUUACUGGGCGUAAAGCGCGCGCAGGCGGUCUUCCAAGUCAGUGGUGAAAGCCCGGAGCUCAACUCCGGAACUGCCAUUGAAACUGUAAGACUUGAGGAUGAGAGAGGUGAGUGGAAUUCCCAGUGUAGAGGUGAAAUUCGUAGAUAUUGGGAAGAACACCGGUGGCGAAGGCGGCUCACGUGGCUCAUUACUGACGCUCAGGCGCGACAGCGUGGGGAUCAAACAGG